UUUCAUAAAAAAAAGCUAAGAAAUGUUCCUACACCCAAAUGACCCCUGAACCUCUUCUCCUUGGCUCCAAAACAGAAGCAGCGGCGAGUUCCAGUUGGAGUUCUUUUUUUCGUUGAAAUCAGUCGAUCGAGUUUGGCUGAGUCGAGUUCAAUCACAGUGAGUUUGCCGCUCGAGUCGUCGAGGUCGAGUUUUCCAGCGUGGUCUUUGCUUGACGGGUUUGUUCGAGGCUGUGAUUUCGGUCCAGAUGCCUAGCCUGUAGCUCGUUUGAAAGUUCUUGCUGUUUCAGAGCUUUUAUCUUUAUUGUAUCUGCUCCCAUAAUUUCAGCAAAUAAAAGGUCAUACUCUAACUUUACUCAUCUUCCGAUUUCCCGAUCUUAUGCCGUGGAUGUAUGAAUUGUUUGUUCGAUCUCCUUUGCUCCAGUUUUACAACUCACGAGACACUAGUAUUUUGCCUCUUUCAUUUCUGAUGUUUGUCUGUUUAAAUGUUAAAUCACAUUUGAAGUUUCAAGCAGAUGUUGUUUUCUUGAUUCUUUUGUUGAAAUUUUAGUUCCCUAAGUUUUGUCCUUUUGCAUAUGGGUCUUAAUUUACAAUUCUGUGUGUAUACAACGAGAG
rnacentral:lncRNA from 1 species